UACGUAGGGUGCAAGCGUUGUCCGGAAUUAUUGGGCGUAAAGAGCUCGUAGGCGGUUUGUCGCGUCGGCUGUGAAAACUCGGGGCUCAACCCCGAGCCCGCAGUCGAUACGGGCAGACUAGAGUGCUGUAGGGGAGACUGGAAUUCCUGGUGUAGCGGUGAAAAUUCGUAGAUAUCGGGAGGAACACCAGUGGCGAAGGCGGACGAUCUGGGAAGAGUACUGACGCUGAG
rnacentral:rRNA from 1 species